GAUGAACGCUGGCGGCGUGCUUAACACAUGCAAGUCGAACGAUGAAGCCCAGCUUGCUGGGUGGAUUAGUGGCGAACGGGUGAGUAACACGUGAGUAACCUGCCCUUAACUCUGGGAUAAGCCUGGGAAACUGUGUCUAAUACCGGAUAGGAGCGUCCACCGCAUGGUGGGUGUUGGAAAGAUUUAUCGGUUUUGGAUGGACUCGCGGCCUAUCAGCUUGUUGGUGGGGUAAUGGCUCACCAAGGCGACGACGGGUAGCCGGCCUGAGAGGGUGACCGGCCACACUGGGACUGAGACACGGCCCAGACUCCUACGGGAGGCAGCAGUGGGGAAUAUUGCACAAUGGGCGGAAGCCUGAUGCAGCGACGCCGCGUGAGGGAUGACGGCCUUCGGGUCGUAAACCUCUUUCAGUAGGGAAGAAGCGAAAGUGACGGUACCUGCAGAAGAAGCACCGGCUAACUACGUG
rnacentral:rRNA from 1 species